AUGCGCUCAUCUACAAGUACCUCGUCGCCAGCGUCCCCGUCCCGCCGGAUCUCCGCCUCCCCACUCUGCCGCGGCUUUGACUUCCUCGCCUCGUGCUUCUACCACCACCACGGCUUAGGUGCAAAGAUUGAACCUCUCAAUGUGAUAUUUGGCCACGAGGGAGGUGGUGAUCAGGUGAACAACAUAUGCCUGGAAGACCUCUGGCCCAGCUCAACUCCAUCUCCAUGCACCUCGGCGAGAUCGUCGGUAAUGGACACCGCCUGCCUCGUAUCAUUCUUUCUGGAUAACAUUCUAGUGUGGCAACAUUUAGUAAUUUACAACUGCCUGUUCAUGGUGCUAUGCAAACUCUGA
rnacentral:rRNA from 1 species